rnacentral:rRNA from 1 species
UACGUAGGGGGCGAGCGUUGUCCGGAUUUAUUGGGCGUAAAGAGCUCGUAGGCGGCUUGGCAAGUCGGGUGUGAAAACUUCAGGCUCAACCUGGAGAUGGCACUCGAUACUGCUAUGGCUAGAGUCCGGUAGGGGACCACGGAAUUCCUGGUGUAGCGGUGAAAUGCGCAGAUAUCAGGAGGAACACCGGUGGCGAAGGCGGCAUCCUGGACCGACAUUGACGCUGAUGAGCGAAAGCUAGGGGAGCAAACGGG